UACGGGGGGAGCAAGCGUUGUUCGGAAUUACUGGGCGUAAAGCGCGCGUAGGCGGUCUGAAAAGUCAGAUGUGAAAGCCCCGGGCUCAACUUGGGAACUGCAUUUGAUACUGUCAGACUAGAGUACAGAAGAGGUGACUGGAAUUCCCAGUGUAGCGGUGAAAUGCGUAGAUAUUGGGAGGAACACCAGAUGCGAAGGCGGGUCACUGGGCUGAUACUGACGCUGAAGUGCGAAAGCCAGGGGAGCGAACGGG
rnacentral:rRNA from 1 species